rnacentral:rRNA from 1 species
UGAGUUUGAUCAUGGCUCAGAACGAACGCUGGCGGCAGGCUUAACACAUGCAAGUCGAACGCCCCGCAAGGGGAGUGGCAGACGGGUGAGUAACGCGUGGGAACGUGCCCUUCGGUUCGGAAUAACUCAGGGAAACUUGAGCUAAUACCGGAUACGUGCGAGAGCAGAAAGAUUUAUCGCCGAAGGAUCGGCCCGCGUCCGAUUAGCUAGUUGGUGAGGUAACGGCUCACCAAGGCGACGAUCGGUAGCUGGUCUGAGAGGAUGAUCAGCCACACUGGGACUGAGACACGGCCCAGACUCCUACGGGAGGCAGCAGUGGGGAAUAUUGGACAAUGGGCGAAAGCCUGAUCCAGCCAUGCCGCGUGAGUGAUGAAGGCCCUAGGGUUGUAAAGCUCUUUCGCCAGGGACGAUAAUGACGGUACCUGGAUAAGAAGCCCCGGCUAACUUCGUGCCAGCAGCCGCGGUAAUACGAAGGGGGCUAGCGUUGUUCGGAUUUACUGGGCGUAAAGCGCACGUAGGCGGAUCUUUAAGUCAGGGGUGAAAUCCCGAGGCUCAACCUCGGAACUGCCUUUGAUACUGGAGGUCUCGAGUCCGGGAGAGGUGAGUGGAACUGCGAGUGUAGAGGUGAAAUUCGUAGAUAUUCGCAAGAACACCAGUGGCGAAGGCGGCUCACUGGCCCGGUACUGACGCUGAG